rnacentral:rRNA from 1 species
GACGAACGCUGGCGGCGUGCUUAACACAUGCAAGUCGAACGGAAAGGCCCUGCUUUUGUGGGGUGCUCGAGUGGCGAACGGGUGAGUAACACGUGAGUAACCUGCCCUUGACUUUGGGAUAACUUCAGGAAACUGGGGCUAAUACCGGAUAGGAGCUCCUGCUGCAUGGUGGGGGUUGGAAAGUUUCGGCGGUUGGGGAUGGACUCGCGGCUUAUCAGCUUGUUGGUGGGGUAGUGGCUUACCAAGGCUUUGACGGGUAGCCGGCCUGAGAGGGUGACCGGCCACAUUGGGACUGGGAUACGGCCCAGACUCCUACGGGAGGCAACAGUGGGGAAUAUUGCACAAUGGGCGGAAGCCGGAUGCAGCAACGCCGCGUGCGGGAUGACGGCCUUCGGGUUGUAAACCGCUUUCGCCUGUGACGAAGCGUGAGUGACGGUAAUGGGUAAAGAAGCACCGGCUAACUACGU